rnacentral:rRNA from 1 species
UGGGGAAUUUUGGACAAUGGGCGAAAGCCUGAUCCAGCAAUGCCGCGUGUGUGAAGAAGGCCUUCGGGUUGUAAAGCACUUUUGUCCGGAAAGAAAUCCUUGGCUCUAAUACAGUCGGGGGAUGACGGUACCGGAAGAAUAAGCACCGGCUAACUACGUGCCAGCAGCCGCGGUAAUACGUAGGGUGCAAGCGUUAAUCGGAAUUACUGGGCGUAAAGCGUGCGCAGGCGGUUUGCUAAGACCGAUGUGAAAUCCCCGGGCUCAACCUGGGAACUGCAUUGGUGACUGGCAGGCUAGAGUAUGGCAGAGGGGGGUAGAAUUCCACGUGUAGCAGUGAAAUGCGUAGAGAUGUGGAGGAAUACCGAUGGCGAAGGCAGCCCCCUGGGCCAAUACUGACGCUCAUGCACGAAAGCGUGGGGAGCAAACAGGAUUAGAUACCCUGGUAGUCCACGCCCUAAAACGAUGUCAACUAGUUGUUGGGAAUUCAUUUCCUUAGUAACGUAGCUAACGCGUGAAGUUGACCGCCU